GAUGAACGCUGGCGGCGUGCCUAAUACAUGCAAGUCGAGCGAACAGACGAGGAGUUUGCUCCUCUGACGUUAGCGGCGGACGGGUGUGUAACACGUGGAUAACCUACCUAUAAGACUGGGAUAACUUCGGGAAACCGGAGCUAAUACCGGAUAAUAUAUUGAACCGCAUGGUGCAAUAGUGAAAGACGGUUUUGCUGUCACUUAUAGAGGGAUCCGCGCCGCAUUAGCUAGUUGGUAGGGUAACGGCCUACCAAGGCGACGAUGCGUAGCCGACCUGAGAGGGUGAUCGGCCACACUGGAACUGAGACACGGUCCAGACUCCUACGGGAGGCAGCAGUAGGGAAUCUUCCGCAAUGGGCGAAAGCCUGACGGAGCAACGCCGCGUGAGUGAUGAAGGUCUUCGGAUCGUAAAACUCUGUUAUUAGGGAAGAACAAAUGUGUAAGUAACUAUGCACGUCUUGACGGUACCUGAUCAGAAAGCCACGGCUAACUACGUG
rnacentral:rRNA from 1 species